GACGAACGCUGGCGGCGUGCUUAACACAUGCAAGUCGAGCGGUAAGGCCCUUUCGGGGGUACGACGAGCGGCGAACGGGUGAGUAACACGUGGGUGACCUGCCCUCAGCUCUGGGAUAAGCCCGGGAAACUGGGUCUAAUACCGGAUAUGACUCCAUGACGCAUGUUGUGGGGUGGAAAGCCUUGUGCGGCUGAGGAUGGGCCCGCGGCCUAUCAGCUUGUUGGUGGGGUGAUGGCCUACCAAGGCGACGACGGGUAGCCGGCCUGAGAGGGCGACCGGCCACACUGGGACUGAGACACGGCCCAGACUCCUACGGGAGGCAGCAGUGGGGAAUCUUGCGCAAUGGGCGAAAGCCUGACGCAGCGACGCCGCGUGAGGGAUGACGGCCUGGUGUAAC
rnacentral:rRNA from 1 species